GACGAACGCUGGCGGCGUGCCUAACACAUGCAAGUCGAGCGAGGAACUUCGGUUCCUAGCGGCGGACGGGUGAGUAACACGUGGGUAGCCUGGCUCAUAGAGGGGGAUAGCCUCCCGAAAGGGAGAUUAAUACCGCAUAAGAAGCGAAAGUCGCAUGGCUUUAGCUUUAAAGGAGUAAUCCGCGAUGCGAUGGGCCCGCGGCGGAUUAGCUAGUUGGUGAGGUAACGGCUCACCAAGGCGACGAUGCGUAGCCGACCUGAGAGGGUGAUCGGCCACAUUGGAACUGAGACACGGUCCAGACUCCUACGGGAGGCAGCAGUGGAGAAUAUUGCACAAUGGGCGAAAGCCUGAUGCAGCAACGCCGCGUGAGUGAUGACGGCCUUCGGGUUGUAAAGCUCUGUCUUUGGGGACGAUAAUGACGGUACCCAAGGAGGAAGCCACGGCUAACUACGUGCCAGCAGCCGCAGUAAAAC
rnacentral:rRNA from 1 species